UGAGCGGGUUAUUUCUAAUUUUUUAUCCGGCGCGCCAUCAUACAUUAUCCACGUUUCACAUAACCGACCUCUCCCCAAAUUAGGGUUUCAAUCCAAUUUUACUUAAAGAAAGAUAUUAACCUCCCUGUACACCAUUCCAGGUCUAAAUCAAAGAGCACAACCAUCGACCAUGUCUGCUCCAUAUAUUAGGGUUUUGUUACUUCACCAUUCCAUGGACACAACUGAAGCAUAGAACAUAUCAUUGCCAUUUGCUUGCAGUCACUGAGUUCUUAUCAUUGGGGUCUCUCAAAAGCUAUUGGAACACUCUAGUUAAUUAACUAUAUAUAAAAAUAGAUAAAUGGAUGAGAAGUUUUGUUGGUCAACCAAAAGAAGCAGCCAUGCCCGAGCAGCCACAUAGUCGAUAUAAUUAGCGAAUGAUAAUGUUGAGUUAUUUAUUACUUUUACAACUAAAGAUGGGAUGGUGGAUGGCAACAUGCUGCGAUGGCUGCAAUGGUGGAUGGCAACGGUGCUGCGAGCAGCCUCGUAGUCGAUCCAUAGGUCAAUAAUUGAAAUGUAAACUUGGUUAUCAAGGAGAGCUCGUUAAGGAAAAGGAUGAAGAAAAUGAAAGGUUAUGUGGAAUUAUUACGGGGCUAUUGGCUGAAAAAGAAAAAGAUAACGUGGAUAAACAUACGAUGCUCAAUAGAAUGUCAUAAAUUGAAGCUUUGUUAACAGCUAUUGUUCUAAGAUAGGCUAUAAACACUUGGUUUUUAAUGUUUCUAUGUUUAUCAUAUUAGGAUAAUUUCAGUUAUUUGAUAUUUUAGUUGGUAUUUUUUUUAUAAGAAUA